rnacentral:lncRNA from 1 species
AAAGAGUUUCCUGAUACCCAAGGCUUGUAAGGGUGAAAAUAAUCUUUUCGGAAAGUGGUGCCCAUGAUUCCGUCUUGAUUCUAGAUCUCAUCACCUAUCAAAACUCGAAGCAUUGCUACUUGGAACCUCCUAAGCUAACAAAGUCUGCGGUUAGGAUAAGUAAUGGUGAAUAGCUAACAACGGAUUUUAUCCUCUGUUAAUCUAAAACCGGAUUUAUCCCCCGUUAAAGCUAACAGUAGAUAAAAUCUGCAACAUGGAAAUCCAACUGAAUUUCUGUGUUAAUCGUUUGUUGUUCUUCGUUCAUCAUUCAUCGUUCAUUUUUUUCACUCAUUUUCUUUUUCUUCUUCGAUUCUUCUUCUUAUUCUUCAAUCUUUCUUCUUAUUCUUCAAUUCU